rnacentral:rRNA from 1 species
UACGAAGGGGGCUAGCGUUGCUCGGAACGACUGGGCGUAAAGGGCGCGUAGGCGGCUUGUAUAGUCGGAUGUGAAAUUCCUGGGCUUAACCUGGGGGCUGCAUACGAGACGUAUGGGCUUGAGUGCGGAAGAGGGUCGUGGAAUUCCCAGUGUAGAGGUGAAAUUCGUAGAUAUUGGGAGGAACACCAGUGGCGAAGGCGGUUGCCUGGAGCUUUGCUGACGCUGAUGCGCGAAAGCGUGGGGAGCGAUCCGG